rnacentral:rRNA from 1 species
AGUAGUUUGACUCCGUGGCUCGAGGACGAACGCUGGCGGCGUGCCUAACACAUGCAAGUCGAACGAGGUCCAAGGAAGCUUGCUUCCUGAAGACCUAGUGGCGAACGGGUGAGUAACACGUGAGAAACCUGCCUCGGAGUGGGGAAUAACUCGGGGAAACUCGAGCUAAUACCGCAUACCUCCACAUGAUCGCAUGGUCGAGUGAAGAAAGAAUUUCGCUCUGAGAGGGUCUCGCGGCCUAUCAGCUUGUUGGUGGGUAACGGCCUACCAAGGCAACGACGGGUAGCUGGUUUGAGAGAACGAUCAGCCACACUGGGACUGAGACACGGCCCAGACUCCUACGGGAGGCAGCAGUGGGGAAUCUUGCGCAAUGGGCGAAAGCCUGACGCAGCAACGCCGCGUGCGGGAUGACGGCCUUCGUGGUUGUAAACCGCUUUCAGCAGGGACGAAAAUGACGGUACCUGCAGAAGAAGCCCCGGCUAACUACGUG